rnacentral:lncRNA from 1 species
AUGAGUUGCAAGUGUUUGUUGGCUCCUUGUAAGAAUUUGACAGGUUUGCACUGGUUCCCCCGAGAUGCUGACAGAGCUAGAUUGUGGCUGCAGGCGGUGGGUUGGCCAUCAGCUCCUAAAACAUCAAGAAUGUUUGUGUGUAACAAACUUGUUUCACGGGAGAACUUUUACAGACAUGAGGACGUUGGCAUUGCUCAUGGAGGUAAUCUCCGACGAGAAGACACUGAACGAAGUCCCAAAUAUCUUCCCAUCCCCACAGGGCAGCCAUUUCACUUGAGCUGCUGGCUGACAAUACUGGAGUUUUGCCCAGUGACCGCAGCUGAAGGAGGAAGUCUAAAUAUGGUCAUUGGUGAGAUGAAUUUAUCGUGACAUCACAAAACAAGCAGCAGCCACGCUUCCGGGUUCUUCACGCAGUCAGAUUAGAAAUGGCUAUUCAGAGCAAAUGCUAUUAUAAUCAAAGUUAUAGUUAUGUUAAGCCUAUACUUGUAACAAUUUUUAUUAAAUAAGGGUUAUUAGAACAUGACACCUAUGUUUUAUAGUGAGAAAAUGCACACGUUUAUGAACUAAAAAAAAAAAAUUGCUGGAAAUGUAGAGGGUUGUUCAUUAAUUCUGGUGACAUUAACAUUUAUUAAUGUUUUAAAAAAUGUCAAAAUGUCUAUAUCUUAAAAUUUGCUUAGUACAUUAAGCAGUGCUUUGAAAUAAUCUUAUUGUAUUCAGAAUUGUCAUUACAAUCAGCUGACAUAUCUUGACGAGGCCUUAAUAAAGUUUUUCUAGUUUUUGAUCUGUCAGCUCUCCCAUCAUAUUUAUGAAUGUACAUAUAAUAUUUUAACAUAUAAUAUAUUUUUAAAUAAACUUUAAUAUGAUGUUAUAAACAAUCUUUUUCAACAUUUGAAUUUGAAAGACCUACCAACAGAAUGAGUUGCUAGCAUAUGCUGAAAAUAUCAGUCAUCUGGUUUAACUGCACCACUGCUAAUGCAUGCUUUUGUUCUCUUUACUAUUGCAACCUCUUUUUUGCUUUCUUGUACUGAGAAGCAACAGGAGUUCCUCGAUUUUGAAUGUAUUGUGUUCCUUUAUAUUUCAGGCUAUAAGUGUAGCUUGUCUGGUGUUUUUUCAUGUUUAUAUCUUAAUUGUUAACAUCAAUUAAUCAAAUCUUGUUUAACUGCACAUACAAUUGUCAAUUUGUAUAUUGUUAUUCCUUAUUUACUUGUUCCAUUUUUAUUCUUUUAUUAUCUGUUUUUUUCUUCAGUCCUUGUCAUUCUGUUGUACUGCGGAAGCUUCUGUCACUAAAACAAAUUCCUCGUAUGUGUAAACAUACCUGGCAAUAAAAGCUCAUUCUGAUUCUGAUUGUGAUCGUUGGAAAGCCUGUAUAACAAAUAUGCAUAUUUUCAAUAAAACAGACUUAGAGAUAUUUAACUUAGUGGGGUUUUGUUUAGGGGUGGGCUUAGGCAGGAAUCUUCUAUACUUGGGCAGUCGUGGCCUAAUGGAUAGAGAGUCGGCCUUGUAACCCAAAGGUUGUGGCAUCGAGUCUCAAGUCUGGCAGGUAUUGUAGGUGGGGGGAGUGAAUGUACAAGCGCUCUCUUCCACCUUCAGUAUCACCUUGAGCGAGGCACCGAACCCUCGACUGCUCCCGGGCGCCGCAGCAAUAUGGCUGCCCACUGCUACAGGCAGUGUUGGGAGAAACGCGUUACAAAAGUAAUGCAUUACAGAAACGUAUACUUUUUGCUGUAACGCAGUUUACUACACACUUAUUCGAACCUAAAUUUAUUAGUUAAAAAAAAAAAAAACAAACAGCAAGACUGCGAGUCAUUAACGAAUGAAAAAUGCAAGUAAGUUUUAUUACCUGUUUGUGGUCAAUCAAUAGCUGCGUGUGGGGUCCAAGUUAAUAAAUAAAGACUAAAUGACAGCUUCUAAUAUAUUUGUUUAGAGGUUUAUUUCAUUCAUCUCCCUCUCGCUGGUGUAACUUUGUAUUGUGUGACGUAGUCCAGUGAAGGUCUUACAGGAGUGACGUGAGGCAUGAUUUCGGCCUCUGUGCUCGUGCUGACCAGUGAAAAAGCGGCUAAUGGGUGAAGAUGGCAGAAGAAGACUGUACAUUUGUGAGAUGGACGUAUGCGCAUUACUUCGAGCGGAAACGUAAAAGUACGAACUAAAGACAAUAAGACAAAAAAAAAAAAAAAAAAACCUACGAAACGGUGCCAUGUGACCACUCCACUUACUGAGAAAAAAUAAAAAAACAGAACGAGAGUGAUAAGCCAAAACAACAGAAAUGAAGUUUCUCUCGGUCUGCCAUCAUGCCACUUGAACCUCGAGAAGUCAGAAGACUUGUGGCGGAGUAUGUCACGGUGAAAUCUCCUGCUUUCAAGAAGUUAGUAAGAUGCCUGUGACCAAUUACAAGGUAAGCUAAUGUUUCCAUGAUGACUAGCUAGAAUUUUAUAUAAUCUAAGUUCAACUUCAUAUAGAUUCUAGGUCACUGGGUCAAAAUGUAUCAAAAUGUUAUAACCAUCAACAGACCUAAACUGAAAAAAUGAUUCAUUGAAUUUACUCAAUUUUUUAAGGUAAGUGGUUGCAAAUCAGUUUGUUUUUAGAUUAGGCUACAUUUAAAAAAAAAAUUNUUACUGAACUUUUUUGAGUUUGCCACGUUUAUGACUAAAAAAAAAAAUUAGACUGGAAAUGUAGAGGGUUGUUCAUUAAUUCUGGUGACAUUAACAUUUAUUAAUGUUUUAAAAAAUAGUCAAAAAUGUCUAUAUCUUAAAAUUUGCUUAGUACAUUAAGCAGUGCUUUGAAAUAAUCUUAUUGUAUUCAGAAUUGUCAUUACAAUCAGCUGACAUAUCUUGACGAGGCCUUAAUAAAGUUUUUCUAGUUUUUGUAUCUGUCACUCUCCCAUCAUAUUUAUGAAUGUACAUAUAAUAUUUUAACAUAUAAUAUAUUUUUAAAUAAACUUUAAUAUGAUGUUAUAAACAAUCUUUUUCAACAUUUGAAUUUGAAAGACCUACCAACAGAAUGAGUUGCUAGCAUAUGCUGAAAAUAUCAGUCAUCUGGUUUAACUGCACCACUGCUAAUGCAUGCUUUUGUUCUCUUUACUAUUGCAACCUCUUUUUUGCUUUCUUGUACUGAGAAGCAACAGGAGUUCCUCGAUUUUGAAUGUAUUGUGUUCCUUUAUAUUUCAGGCUAUAAGUGUAGCUUGUCUGGUGUUUUUUCAUGUUUAUAUCUUAAUUGUUAACAUCAAUUAAUCAAAUCUUGUUUAACUGCACAUACAAUUGUCAAUUUGUAUAUUGUUAUUCCUUAUUUACUUGUUCCAUUUUUAUUCUUUUAUUAUCUGUUUUUUUCUUCAGUCCUUGUCAUUCUGUUGUACUGCGGAAGCUUCUGUCACUAAAACAAAUUCCUCGUAUGUGUAAACAUACCUGGCAAUAAAAGCUCAUUCUGAUUCUGAUUGUGAUCGUUGGAAAGCCUGUAUAACAAAUAUGCAUAUUUUCAAUAAAACAGACUUAGAGAUAUUUAACUUAGUGGGGUUUUGUUUAGGGGUGGGCUUAGGCAGGAAUCUUCUAUACUUGGGCAGUCGUGGCCUAAUGGAUAGAGAGUCGGCCUUGUAACCCAAAGGUUGUGGCAUCGAGUCUCAAGUCUGGCAGGUAUUGUAGGUGGGGGGAGUGAAUGUACAAGCGCUCUCUUCCACCUUCAGUAUCACCUUGAGCGAGGCACCGAACCCUCGACUGCUCCCCGGGCGCCGCAGCAAUAUGGCUGCCCACUGCUACAGGCAGUGUUGGGAGAAACGCGUUACAAAAGUAAUGCAUUACAGAAACGUAUUACUUUUUGCUGUAACGCAGUAAAGCAUUACUAAUCAAUUUUCAGUAAUAUUUUACUCUGUACAUGUUCAGUAACGCUUGCGUUACUACACACAUUUAGCCCUAAA